rnacentral:siRNA from 1 species
CCGCAUUGUAAAUCUUGAACCGA